GAUGAACGCUGGCGGCGUGCUUAACACAUGCAAGUCGAACGGGAUCCAUCAGGCUUUGCUUGGUGGUGAGAGUGGCGAGCGGGUGAGUAAUGCGUGACCGACCUGCCCCAUACACCGGAGUAGCUCCUGGAAACGGGUGGUAAUGCCGGAUGCUCCAGUUGAUCGCAUGGUCUUCUGGGAAAGCUUUCGCGGUAUGGGAUGGGGUCGCGUCCUAUCAGCUUGACGGCGGGGUAACGGCCCACCGUGGCUUCGACGGGUAGCCGGCCUGAGAGGGCGACCGGCCACAUUGGGACUGAGAUACGGCCCAGACUCCUACGGGAGGCAGCAGUGGGGAAUAUUGCACAAUGGGCGCAAGCCUGAUGCAGCGACGCCGCGUGAGGGAUGGAGGCCUUCGGGUUGUAAACCUCUUUUAUCGGGGAGCAAGCGAGAGUGAGUUACC
rnacentral:rRNA from 1 species